rnacentral:misc_RNA from 1 species
UGYUCAUCAACGUGCGGCCGAGGUGUCAACAAAUUCCAUGUGUCGCCAUCUGUGGCGUCGCAUGAGUUGCAUUUGGAUGUUUGNUGGUUCUCACGGAUAUGGUGCCUAUUGGGAGGUUUACGGGCUUCUAGCUUUGUAGACCUUGCGAGGUUGCCCUUGCACAGUUCAUAGCUCCCGAUGUGUCUCAGUCAUGUCGUGGUUUCUACGUCAUGCUGGGAGCCCUCUUACACAGAGCUUGACUAUGUGCUUGUGGCGUAUCUGUGGCGUCGCAUGAGUUGCGAUUGCCGGUUUUUGUUGUCAUAAGG